rnacentral:rRNA from 1 species
AGAGUUUGAUCCUGGCUCAGAUUGAACGCUGGCGGCAGGCCUAACACAUGCAAGUCGAGCGGAUGAGAAGGGCUUGCUCUUCGAUUCAGCGGCGGACGGGUGAGUAAUGCCUAGGAAUCUGCCUGGUAGUGGGGGACAACGUUUCGAAAGGAACGCUAAUACCGCAUACGUCCUACGGGAGAAAGCAGGGGACCUUCGGGCCUUGCGCUAUCAGAUGAGCCUAGGUCGGAUUAGCUAGUUGGUGAGGUAAUGGCUCACCAAGGCGACGAUCCGUAACUGGUCUGAGAGGAUGAUCAGUCACACUGGAACUGAGACACGGUCCAGACUCCUACGGUAGGCAGCAGUGGGGAAUAUUGGACAAUGGGCGAAAGCCUGAUCCAGCCAUGCCGCGUGUGUGAAGAAGGUCUUCGGAUUGUAAAGCACUUUAAGUUGGGAGGAAGG